rnacentral:rRNA from 1 species
UGGCGAUGAACGGGACAGCCCAUCGCGAAACUGCAGGUCAUCUUGGCCUUGCGGAAUGUCGCGUUUGGGAGAGUCUUAUCGAGAAUCAGCUGGCCAGUCAAAGUCCAACUUGACAGUGGCCACAGCCCAUAGAGGGUGAUAGGCCCGUAAGGCGGCUGGCUGUCCUUGCCGACUUUUCCCUAGAGUCGGGUUGCUUGGGAGUGCAGCCCAAAGUGUGAGGUAAACUCCUCAUAAGGCUAAAUAUUACCCCGAGACCGAUAGCAAACAAGUACCGUGAGGGAAGAUUGAAAAGAACUUUGAAGAGAGAGUUCAAUAGUACGUGAAACUGUGUGGUGGUAAACGGAGGCGUUCUUGAAGUUUCUGUGGGGAACUCAACCUUGGUGGCUGGCGGCCUGGCUGUAUGUGAUCAGCAAUGACUCUGCAGCUGGUUUGGUCGUGGCCUCUCGGGCGCAUUUUUCCCACAGUUUACGGCAGGAACUGUUUGGAGCAGACCAAAGGCCUCGGGUGAAGUUGUCGGUUCUGCUGGCAGCCCCAGGUGUCCUGGCUCUGCACCAGACAGGUAUCAGAGAGGACUCGUAUAGCGAGCAAUGCCCUGUUGCAGUCCUCAUAUCUCUGCCGAGUAGGUCAGAGACGCCUCCGACCCGUCUUGAAACACGGACC